CUCAGCCUAUCUGCAGAGAUGAUGAGGGCUACCAACACUGAAGAAGACGACGAUGACGAUGAUGGAAUCAUUUUCUAGCAUGAAUCCUCUUCAUGAAUUCUUCGACAUUGAAUCAAUGAGUCACCAUAGUGCACGUUUUGUGGUUUUACUGCAACAAGAAAAGACGGAAGGUCUGAUUCACAUGGAAAUAAAACACUAACUCCUUUGUCUUCCUUUUCUCCGAUGGUAGCCUUGAGCUAUCUCGUCUCUUGUUGCAAGAUCAACCCAUUGCAUGCCGGUCGUAUUUAUCCUUUGUACGAUCAGAAUUGUCCAGGAGGUUCAUCAACAGGUCUUUCACUAGUUUUUGGCUGACCAAUCACAAGUUUGGGCACCUGCAAAAUCUCCCGGAGAUGAACAAGUUUACAGUUGAAUCCCGAGCCUUCUUUGGGAGGAAGCAUGAAAACUUCAAAGUAAUCACGGUUUCCAGUAGCAACCUUUAUUUCUUGAAUUGAUCGCAAGGAUAUAAGGAUUAGGAAAAGUCCGUGAGAAGAAUAUGAUAGAGCUGCACUUAAUUUCUGCUGGGCUGAGCCUACUUGCACAAGACAUGAGCCCAAACCUCCUUGAAGUAUAGUAGUGUAAUAGAGUAGUAAAGCUUGGGCCAGCUGUAUAUUUAAUUUUAUAUAUGUGAGCCAACCCACUUAUAUAUAUAUAUAUAUAUAGAUGUACAGUGUAUUAGAUCAGUUUUUUUAUUUUAAUAAAAUUCCACUUUCACAUUUUCUCUCUCUCUACGUUUCAUUUCAGUAUGCAGAUACCAAAAUUAGGGAUCUGCUCAUUUUAAUCGAGCGAUUUUGUUCAUGAAUCUGGUUAUUAAUAUGGAUCAGAGCUUGGAUUAUGCUAGAUCUAGAUCGAUUCUCUCUAUUUUAGUGGUAAUGUAUGUAAUUUGAGGGUUCAGAAACCACAUAGUCAGAAGUUAACUUUGAACAAAACAAAAAGGAGUCCUCUGGUGUGCAAAUACUGCAAGAAGACUGGCCAUCUGAUUGACAAGUGCAUCAAUGGGUGCUGCCGUUACCGUAGAACAAUUCGAUCAACUUCUAAGUCUUCUUCAGCAAUCCAAAGUGUCACCACCUUCUCAGGAGAUCUCUACUGGUUUUGCAAAUUUUGCAGGUCUGAUAGGGCCCUUCUCUAAAGAAGCCACUGGUUCUUGGUAGUCUUCAGGCUAGGCUCUACAUCUUCAAUUGUCAUGAUCCGGAUUUCCCACCCUCGGGAGUCUUGAUGGCGCCUACCUGUGAAAGCAUUCCAGGUACACAUUUCGAGUCUCAUAUUGGUGCAGCUGAUUGUAAACAAUGAAAAGCAUGAAUUGAAAGAUCUGGAGAAGUUAUAAUCAUCUGUUUGCUUUACUUACAGCCUUUUGUUAUUAAGUUGUAUAAAUUUUAAUUUGUAGGUCAAUAGGGAAGUACAUUAGUAAGUUUGUAUUUGGUUGAAGCUUAUGUCGAUCUAAAUAUGCGAUUCGUUUAAAGGUAUAUAGGAUGUAACCAUAAUUCAUGGAAUAUGCAACCAUUAGUAUGAUUGUU